rnacentral:pre_miRNA from 14 species
UUGAACAAGAUGGAGAAGCAGGGCACGUGCAAUACUAACUCAUGAACAUACACACAUGAUGGAAGUGAAUACAAAGAGAAUCUACAUUCUCUUAUGUUUCAUUUUUUUAAUUGAGUUAGUUCUUCAUGUGCCCCUCUUCCCCAUCAUGACAAU